GUCACGAACCGAACUUUUAUAUAACCCGAAUGGAGUUGAUUUUGAUAAACCCGAAAAACCGAAACCCGAAUGGAUAAAACCGAAACCCGAUUGGGACCCCGAAUGCCCAUGCCUAAUCCCAGUUUUGAACUUUUGAUCUUACAAUUUCUAUUACUUGGAGCUGAAAGAAUUUUGUUUUAUUUAUAUUCGUUAUUACUGUUUAUUUGGUGUGUUAGGUAAGAUAUUUAUUUUAUUUUUGGAUUUUAUAAAUAUAUUGAAGAUUAUUUAAAUUAUAAUUAAAUUAAUUUUGGUUUUAAACUUAAUUUAUUUCAUUUUUUUUUAAACCUGAAAAUCCCAAAUAGCUUAAUAGCCCUUUUAGCGCCGACCGGAGGUUUAAAACACGGACCGGACUAAACCAGGGUUAGAUAUUUAUAAUCUUUGUAGAUUUUGUACCAGAUCGGAUUAGCCCGAUUGACACCCCUAUGUAUAUAGUUAAUGUUAAACAUAAAAGAGAACUCAAGGGUCAGGAUGAAAACAAUAUUUCAUGAUCAUUUUAUUUUCUAAUGAGUGAAAAUUAUGGAGUGAAAUCCAUACUAAGGGUCUGAUUAGUAAUGGUUGUAGCUUUAAAACUUUUGCUGUAGAAAAAAUCUGUAGAUUUUUUGCUUUGGCUUUAGAUUUUAUUGCUGUAGAAUUUUAUGCAAAGCACUAAAAAAUUGCUUUGGAUAUUUGGCUCUGCAGAGCACUUGUACAGCUGUAGGUUAUUUUAAGAGCUGUGAUUUAAAAAAAAAAAUAAAGCUUGAUUUCUCUGAAUUUGGUGCUGUAGAAAUAAAUAGGGUUGUGGACAUCACCUACAGCAACUACCAAUCACCUCCUAAUUCUUUGGAAGAUAUGAAAAAACCAAGUAUUAUUUUUCGGCUAACACAAAGUGCAAACACAAUUCUCAACUUGUAACUGAAAAUAUAGUGAAUGAUAUAGUUCAUAAAGAAUAAUUUCAAAGAUAUAUAUAGUUGUGUUUGCUUUAUCAAACUAAAAAUCCAUACCAGCGAUGUUUAAAAAUUUAAUCCAUAACUCAACGCAAUAGAAUGAUUAUUAAUGAAUAUGUACGUUUUGAACAAUUAAUCCGACCUUACGAAAACUGUCGCUUAAAGAAUCAAUGAAAAACAACGAUUCACGGCCUCGUCUCUCUAUCACGUUGCUUCGUUUUAACUGAGAAAAAAUAACAACUACUGCUAAUACACACAAAACCCACUGUGAGCAACCGUGAAUUGUAUGAGACGCUUGCAACGGAGAGGAAAAGCGAUGUGCAUGAACAGAAAAUCACAGAGGAUAAAAAUAUAGGAAGGGCAUUGGGGAACACAGCACACACUGGAAAAACAAAUAGUAAUCGAAAAACUCCAGCUUUGAUUCUAGUUGAUAAGAAGUAGCAGUAAGAUACUGAGAUUAUUGCUGAAACCCAUACUUUGUUGCAGUUCUUGCGUUCUUCCUUCAUGUCCUAGAUCUUCUUCCUUUUUGAGUUGCUGAUGUUUUGAAAUCACCUAUGUUUUAAGUUUUUACUUGGAUGAUAAGCAAUUGGAAUAAAAUAUAAGGCAUGUGGUUUUACAGGCAGAUAGUGGAUGAAUAUUCUGAGACUAAAGUCGAACUAGCUUUUGCUUCAACAUGAAUCCAAGUUCAGUUUAGUAUUGUAAUGCACAUCGUAUAAGUUUAAGUAACAUUAAGGUAGCUUUUGUACGAGAUGUCAAAUUGUGUUAAUGUGAUAAAAAAAAAUAACCAACUCGUUCGAGAACUAAAGUACUCAUGAGAACUCAAAUAUCACAUGUUUUUCAUCUAAUAUUUGUUUUCUUAAGCUAAAAAAUAAUUAAAUAACAUUAUUUAAAUAUUAAUAAUUCUUUUGUUUGAGAUACUUUUUUGAAAAUUUUACCACUAAAAGUGCUCUUAAAUAAGGCUAACCAAUUUUUAUAUUUUUCAACACUUGUCAAAUUAAGGUUCUAUAUGCAGUGCGAACUUCAUACCUUGUGAAAAAGACUUUAAAUUUUAACCACUAGAUCAAAAUGCUUUCACUAUUUGAUUAAUUAAUUAAGCUAGUAAUUUUAAGUUUUUUUUUCAUGUUUUGAAUGGUAACCAAGAGAAUGAUGAGGAACUUUUUUUUUUUUUUGUCACAAGAGAAUGAUGAGGAACACUAUGUUUUUUAGCAUUCCUUAAAUUUUUUACCAUUCACUAGGAAUAGAUUUUUUUUUCAUUCCUCUUCAUUCUUUUGUUGUUUGUAGAGAAUUAUAAAACAAAUUUAUUCUUUAUUAAUUUUAAUAAGGAAUCAUCAUUCCUCAUCAUUUUUUAAAUUUUAUUCUUACUCAUUUUUUUCUUAUCCGUUUCUAUGAUCCGGUCAACAUUGAACUGGGAUGUUAAUAAGAGCGUUGUUGGGUAAAAUCUGGUAUUACAAAACGUUUAUAACUUUCAGAGUAAAACCAAUUGAAAACAACUGAACCAACUAGUGUUAACCAAACCCGUAUCACAAAUUGCGGAGUCGAAUGAAAAAAUGAGAAAUAAACAA